CUGUGAGACAGGUGCUGCAUGGCUGUCGUCAGCUCGUGUUGUGAAAUGUUGGGUUAAGUCCCGCAACGAGCGCAACCCUUAUCCUUUGUUGCCAGCACGUAAUGGUGGGAACUCAAGGGAGACUGCCGGUGACAAACCGGAGGAAGGUGGGGAUGACGUCAAGUCAUCAUGGCCCUUACGAGUAGGGCUACACACGUGCUACAAUGGCAGAUACAAAGUGAAGCGAACUCGCGAGAGCCAGCGGACCACAUAAAGUCUGUCGUAGUCCGGAUUGGAGUCUGCAACUCGACUCCAUGAAGUCGGAAUCGCUAGUAAUCGUAGAUCAGAAUGCUACGGUGAAUACGUUCCCGGGCCUUGUACACACCGCCCGUCACACCAUGGGAGUGGGUUGCAAAAGAAGUAGGUAGCUUAACCUUCGGGAGGGCGCUUACCACUUUGUGAUUCAUGACUGGGGUGAAGUCGUAACAAGGUAACCGUAGGGGAACCUGCGGUUGGAUCACCUCCUUACCU
rnacentral:rRNA from 1 species